AAGGGUCCGUAAAACGGUAAAUUAAGCGAGUAUUUUAUAUUACUAUCGAACUGGUUUACUAGAGUCUUAUAGAGGAACAGAGGAAUUGCAAGAGUAAGGAUGAAAUCUUUUGAUACUUGUAGGACCGCCAACGGCGAAGGCAUCGUUCCAGGUAAAGACUGACGUUGAGGGACGUAGGCGUUGGGAGCGAAAAGGAUUAGAUACCCCUGUAGUCAACGCUGUAAACGAUGAGUGCUUAAGAUUAGUAAUAAUUAUUUAUUCUUUUUUUUUUUAAAUAAUUCUAAAUUAGUCUCGAAAUGAAGAUGUUAAGCACUUCACCUGGGGAGUACUGUCGCAAGGCUGAAACCCAAAACAUUAGACGGUCACGGAAACCAGCAGUGAAGCAUGUUAUUUAAUACGAUGAUCCGCGUACAACCUUACCACUUCUUGAAUGUCCUUUCCCGUAAAAAGGAUUGGCCUAUUUAAUUAAACUUGAUAAAUAUUAAUUAAAUUUGGAUAAAUACAACAGGCGUUGCAUGGCUGUCUUCAGUUCGUGUCGUGAGAUGUCAGGUUCAUUCCGCUAAACGAAUGAAACCCUUCUUUCUUAAUUUUAUUUAUAUUGAAUAUUGGUCUAAUUUAGAUUAAUUUUUAUUUCAUUAAGAUGACCCUUGGAUAACGAGGAUAUAAUGGGGAUUAAGACAAGUCGUCAUGGCCUUUAUGAAGUGGGCUAUAGACGUGCCACAAGAGCCUUUACAAUGGGAUGCUAAGACAAAAGUCAGCGCUAAACCUUAAAAAAGGCUAUGUUCGGAUUGUAGUCUGCAACUCGACUACAUGAAGCAGGAAUUGCUAGUAAUCGUAA
rnacentral:rRNA from 1 species